rnacentral:rRNA from 1 species
AAAAACAUGUCCUUUUGAAUUAAAUUUAAGGUUUAACCUGCUCAAUGAGUUUUAAAUAACCGCAGUAUCCUAACUGUGCAAAGGUAGCAUAAUCAUUAGUUUUUUAAUUGAAAGCUGGAAUGAAAGGUUGAAUGAGAAAAUAGCUGUCUCUAUAAAAAUUUUAUAGAAUUUUAUUUUUAAGUAAAAAAGCUUAAAUUUUAAUAAAAGACGAGAAGACCCUAUAGAGUUUUAUAUUUAAAAUGUAUAUUUUUUUUUAGUAUUUUAAAUUUUAUAUUUUUAUAGUAUUUGAUUGGGGUGAUUGGAAAAUUAAAUAAACUUUUCUUUUAAAUUUACAUUUAUAUAUGAAAUUAUGAUCCUUUAGUAAAGAUUAUAAGAUAAAAUUACCUUAGGGAUAACAGCGUAAUUUUUUUUGAGAGUUCUUAUCGAAAAAAAAGAUUGCGACCUCGAUGUUGGAUUAAAAUAAAUUUUUGGGGUAAAAGCUAAAUAAAUUAGGUCUGUUCGACCUUUAAAAUUUUACUUGAUCUGAGUU